rnacentral:tRNA from 1 species
UAGAAGGUAGUAUAAGGAGUACUAAGGAUUUUGAGUCUUUAUGUGCGGGUUCGAUUCCUGUUCUUCUA